rnacentral:rRNA from 1 species
GACGGAGGGGGCAAGCGUUGUCCGGAAUUACUGGGCGUAAAGCGCUCGUAGGCGGUCGCGUACGGCGGCGGUGAAAGCUCCCGGCUCAACUGGGAGAGGCCCGUCGCAACGGCGUGACUCGAGGUUGGUAGAGGCAGACGGAAUUCCUGGUGUAGCGGUGAAAUGCGUAGAGAUCAGGAGGAACACCCGUGGCGAAGGCGGUCUGCUGGGCCACACCUGACGCUGAGGAGCGAAAGCUAGGGGAGCGAACGGG